rnacentral:rRNA from 1 species
AUGGCGCAAGAUAAUACCAAAUUUUGUGAUUUCUCGAAUACCAAUAAUAAUGAUUUCCUUAGUACUCCGAUUGCUCCUAUUAACGAUGUUGUGUCUUGUGAAAUCAAUACAGCUUUGCUGAAUCUUGUUAUGAAAGAUCAAUUUGUCGUCCUUCCUAGCGAAGAUGCCGCUAAUCAUCUAAACAAUUUUGUUGAUUUUUGUGAUAUGCAAAAUAAGAAAGAUACGGAUAACAAUAUUGUCAAAUUGAAGUUAUUUCCGUUUUCACUUACAGAUCGUGCUAAAGUUUGGUUUUCGUCUUUGCCUAAAAAUAGUAUUGAUUCUUGGAACAAGUGGAAAGAUGCUUUUAUCUCUAAGUAUUUUCCUCCCGCUAAGAUCAUCACUCUUAGGAUCAUCACUCUUAGGAACGGUAUUAUGAAUUUUAAACAACUUGAUCAUGAGCAUGUUGCCCAAUCUUGGGAAAGAAUGAAAUUGAUGCUUCGCAAUUGCCCUACUCAUGGUUUGAAUUUAUGGAUGAUCAUACAAAAUUUUUAUGCUGGUUUGAACUUUGCUUCUAGAAAUCUCUUAGAUUCGGCCGCGGGAGGCACAUUUAUGGAAAUCACGUUAGGAGAUGCUACAAAACUUCUUGAUAAUAUUAUGGCUAAGUAUUCUCAAUGGAACACCGAAAGAUCUUCUAGUAAAAAAGUGCAUGCUAUAGAAGAAAUCAAUGUUUUGAGUGGAAAGAUGGAUGAACUUAUGAAAUUGUUUCCUACUAAAAAUACUCCUCUUGAUCCCAAUGAUAUGCCUUUGUCUUCUUUGAUUGAGAAUAAUAAUGAAUCUACAUAUGUGAAUUUUGUUGGUAGGAAUAGUUUUGCAAACAAUGCUUAUAGAGGAAACUUUAAUGCUAGACCAUUCCCUAGUAAUUCCUCUAAUAAUUAUGGAAAUUCCUACAAUGAUUCUUAUGGUAAUUUUAAUAAGGUGCCCUCUGAUUUUGAGAAAAGUGUGAAAGAAUUUAUGAUUUCUCAAAAGAAUUUUAAUGCUUUGCUUGAAGAAAAAUUGCUCAAAGUUGAUGAUUUGGCUAGGAACGUUGACAGACUUUCGCUUGAUGUUGAUUCUCUUAAACUUAGAUCUUCUCCUCCUAACCAUGAGAUCAAUGAGUCUCUCAAAGCAAUGAGAAUUUCCAUUGAUGAGUGCAAGGAAAGAACCGCUAGAUUGCGUGCUAAAAAAGGUAGCUUUAUAAAAGCGUGUUCUUCUAGUUUCCAUGAAAAUAAUGAUGAGGAUCUUAAAGUUAUUGAUGCGUCUCGUAUUAGAUCUAUGUUUUUCAAUAUGAAUUUUGAUGAUUAUGGGGCUGAUGAUGAGUCAACUUUACCUAGAAGGCGUCCCAAGAAGUCAGAGUUUUUAGAUCUUGAUGCUAAAUUUGGUAAAAGUGGGAUUGGAGAGGUCACAACUUUAAAUAGCAUUGAACCCACUAUCUCGGAUUUCAAGGAUUUUGAUUAUGAUAAUUGUUCUUUAGAAGGUUGUAUUUCCUUGUUGCAAUCCGUUGUUAAUUCUCCUCAUGCUUAUAGUCAAAAUAAAGCUUUUACCAAACAUAUUGUUGAUGCCUUGAUGCAAUCUUAUGAUGAAAAACUUAAUUUGGAAGUUUAUAUACCUAGAAAACUUAAUGAUGAGUGGGAACCUACUAUAAAGAUUAGAAUUAAAGAUCAUGAGUGUUUUGCUUUUUGUGAUUUGGGUGCUAGUGUUUCCACGAUUCCGAAAACUUUAUGUGAUAUUCUAGGUUUCCGUGAUCUUGAUGAUUGCUCUUUAAAUUUGCACCUUGCGGGUUCCACCAUUAAAAAGCCUAUGGGAAGGAUCAAUGAUGUUCUCAUUGUUGCAAAGAAAUUUGGUGCCCGUGGAUUUUAUCGUUCUUGA